rnacentral:misc_RNA from 1 species
ACCAUGGGGCAAAACAAAACCAAAACAAAAGCGCAUGUCAAAUACGUGUAGGCGGGUUUGAUCGCGCUUUUGUUUCGUGACCCGAGCGCGUGGCAUCGUCUGCUACGAUGGCCGUCCGUACUACUGCAGCGUCUGCGCCGGGAAAAACCAUAAUUCACGGGGAGCACGCCGUAGUCUACGGCAAGGCCGCGGUGGCAGCAAGCGUCAACCUGCGGACCCGUGUUACUUGCUGCGAGCAUGAGUCGCUCGUUGUCUUGGAAGCGCCGGAUCUCGACUUCGUCGAAGCCUGGCCCGUCAGCAAGUUUGAAGUUUUCUCUGUUCCCGAAGGAGGCUAUACGGCCACUGUCAUCGCAUUCGCCACCCUUGUGCCAGAUAUUUGCAGCGCCUUCGAAGUCGAUGCAAGGUCCUCCAAACCUGGAGACCAGGCGAAGCUUGCAUUCCUCUUUUUGUUUGCUGGCAUCACAUUAAGGCACAACGAUGGACGCUUUGGGCCGGCCAAGUUCACCGUCAAUUCAAGGCUGCCACUGGGAGCAGGCCUUGGAUCAUCGGCAUCCUACAGCACGGCCUUGGCGACGGUGCUUCUGGCGAAAUGCGGAGCUGUGCAACGCAUUCUGUCUAGCAAGGACCGCGAGCUCAUCUCCUUGUGGGCCUUCCAGGCGGAGUGCAUCCUACACGGUCUGCCGUCGGGCAUCGACAACACAAUCUGCACAUACGGAGGUGCCGUUCUUUUCAAAAGUGGCAAAAUAAGUGAAACUCUUGAGAGCAUUCCCAGCUACAAGGUGUUGUUAGUGAACACCCAAGUUCCCAGAAACACCAAGGCUCUAGUGGCAGGUGUCAAGAAGAGGCACGACCAGUUUCCAGAAGUUAUAAAACCAGUCUUGGAAUCCAUCGAAGCAAUUUCUGAAACCUUUUGGAAGCUCCUGAAGACUGCACCUGAGAUGGCAGAGAACAUUUUCUCCAGAGCCUUGGAACUGGUGGAGAUGAACCAGUCCCUGCUCAACUGCCUCGGAGUUGGCCACCCGCGACUGGACAGGGUCGCCGAGAUUGCUGCCCUACACGGUCUUGCUGCAAAGCUGACGGGGGCAGGCGGCGGUGGCUGUGCGCUGCUUCUCUGCAGUGUUGGCUGUCAAAAUGGACUGGGUGCAAGUGGUGAAGCUAAAUCACUAGCAGUGUGUAAGCAGCUCGAAGAGGAAGGCUUCCUGUUCUGGGAGGUGGACUUGGGUUGCCCUGGAGUCACGCUAGACUGACCUCUGCUCGUCAAUCAAAGGGAAUUAACUUGAGGCCAGAGCAUGCUUUAGGUCAGCCGGAUGUAAACUGUACUGUGAGAGCACUCUAGGAGUGCUCUAAAGUGACCCAUCAAAUGUACCUUAAGACUCACAGAUUCACUCAGACACAUGAAAUCACGAGCUGAGACUCACCCAAACUCACGGAAUGGUGAACUCAGGUUCAAAGGUUUAUAGCUAAAGAUCAUCGCUAAUGAUCGGGGCCCCUAGUCCAGGCUUUGCUGGCUCUUGCCAUCCUCUCCACUCUCUGAAUCAGCUUGAGCUGGUCGUCGAGGGCCAAGCUAGACAGCAGCGCCUCCCAUUGCUCCCUCAUGGUGUUCUAUGUUGUGUAGCGCACACUCCCACAUAAUGUGAUAUAGGGUUGGCGUGGCCCCGCAUCACGGGCAUUCGUUCCUGUAGGCUGUAGGAUGUAUGUGAUGUAAUAUGUGUAGGUACGUGUA